AACGCACAUUGCGCCCCUUGGUAUUCCAUGGGGCAUGCCUGUUCGAGCGUCAUCUGAACCCUCAAGCCCCCUGGCUUGGUGUUGGGUGUCUGUCCCCGCUCCCCGCGCGGACUCGCCCUAAAUGCAUUGGCAGUGGCCUCCACGCUUCUCGCGCAGCACAUUGCGCAGCGGAGCACGGCGAGGCGCGCGUCCAGCAAGCAACCCUCCAAGUUUGACCUCGGAUCAGGUAGGGAUACCCGCUGAACUUAA
rnacentral:misc_RNA from 1 species